rnacentral:misc_RNA from 1 species
CUUCUCUUGUUUCUUCAAAGGAAGAGAUUUAUAACUCAUAAUGGCUGCAUUUUGAAUUUUAUCAGGAGAAUAAGAUUUAAUAAGAAAAACGUUUAUUAGUACCAAAUAUUAGCAAAUUUCAUUACAUAUAGCUAGUGGCUACCAUACAUUUUAAAAAAUUGUUUAAUUACCUUCGCCUCCUAUGAUGAUGAAGCCAAUUAGCAUCAGAACAGGAUGAAUCUGUGGACACGUGGAUUCAUAUAGUGUCAAUAAUAGUAAUUUCCUUUUUUGAUAAAAAAAAGUAAUUUCCUUUUAGGAGAUGAGAUCAUAAAUGAAGGAUGUUAGGGAAAUUUCAAGAACAAACUGGUUGUUGUAGGGAGAUUUCUGGAACCAUUUAAAGCAGAAAAGGAAAGGUAGGUGCAUAAAGAUAAAGUAAUUAAAUAUGCAUGGUUAUGGUUUGGUAAAAAAAUAAUUAUUUUCCACAAUUACAAACUUAACCCCAAGUGCAGACAAGCAUUCCAAGCUGUUUAGCAUCUUACUCCAAAUUUGAAUCAAUUCCCACUUGACAUUAAUAAUAUCUACCUAAAAUUCCAUAUUACUGAAGUUUUUGUAAAUUAAAAAAUGGAACCUUAAUAUUAAAAGUGUAUCCUUUUUAGUCCAGUUUAUGAUUUCAGAGAACAAUAAGAAGAAUAAAAAAAGACCAGUCGCCAAGUUAAUUGGAUGGCAUCCAAUACCAAAUGAAUGAGAGAAUCAGUACCAACACUCAAAGCAUAUUUCUAAUUUCAAGUACCAAAUUAAUUUGUUAGGUAAAGUUGUAAAAACGGUAGAGUCAUCGGAAAUCACAGAACAGAAAACGACAACUAUAUGCAAAACCCUGCAAUAGCACAAUCCAACAAAAACCUUUAAAGUGAAAGGAAAAAGCAAUCCAGGAGAAGAGGAUAAAUUGGGAGAGACUAUUUAAUUUACCAGAAAAACAAAGGAGAAUAGACAAUGCCAAACAAAUAAAACCUUACAUUGAAGAUGAGAUUUUUGUUGGAAGCUUCCCAGGCCA